UUGGAGGGCAAGUCUGGUGCCAGCAGCCGCGGUAAUUCCAGCUCCAAUAGCGUAUAUUAAAGUUGUUGCAGUUAAAAAGCUCGUAGUUGAAUUUCGGGGUUAGUAGGCUGGUCGUGCCAUAGGUAUGCACUGGUCUUACUGAUUCCUCCUUCCUGAUGAACCGUAAUGCCAUUAAUUUGGUGUUGCGGGGAGUCUGGACUGUUACUUUGAAAAAAUUAGAGUGUUUAAAGCAGGCUAACGCUUGAAUACAUUAGCAUGGAAUAACGAAAUAGGACGUUCGAUCUUAUUUUGUUGGUUUCUAGGAUUGACGUAAUGAUUAAUAGGGAUAGUUGGGGGCAUUAGUAUUCAAUUGUCAGAGGUGAAAUUCUUGGAUUUAUUGAAGACUAACUACUGCGAAAGCAUUUGCCAAGGAUGUUUUCAUUAAUCAAGAACGAAAGUUAGGGGAUCGAAGACGAUCAGAUACCGUCGUAGUCUUAACCAUAAACUAUGCCGACUAGGGAUCGGAUGAUGUUAAUUUUUUAAUGACUCAUUCGGCGCCUUACGGGAAAC
rnacentral:rRNA from 1 species